rnacentral:rRNA from 1 species
GACGAACGCUGGCGGUGUGCUUAACACAUGCAAGUCGAACGAAGUGGCGAACGGGUGUGUAAUACUUGGUUAACCUGCCCUCCUUUUUGGGAUAAGCCUUGGAAACGGGGUCUACUACCUAAUAACGGGGGAUGGGUUCGCGGCCUAUUAGCUGGUUGGUGGGGUGAUGGCCUACCAAGGCGGUGACGGGUAGCCUGCCUGAUAGGGUGAACGGCGACAUUGGGACUGGGAUGCGGCCCAGAGUCCGAAGGGAGGGGGAAGUGGGGGAUAUUGGACAAUGGGCGAGAGACUGAUGCAGCGACGGCGCGUGGGGGAGGAGGGUUUUCGAGUUGUAAACGUCUGUCGCUAUCGAAGGGGUAGGAGGAGAAGAAGCGCCGGCUAACUACGUGCCAGCAGCCGCGGUAAUUC